AAGUCGUAACAAGGUUUCCGUAGGUGAACCUGCGGAAGGAUCAUUAGUGAAUAUAGGACGUCCAACUUAACUUGGAGUCCGAACUCUCACUUUCUAACCCUGUGCACUUGUUUGGGAUAGUAACUCUCGCAAGAGAGCGAACUCCUAUUCACUUAUAAACACAAAGUCUAUGAAUGUAUUAAAUUUUAUAACAAAAUAAAACUUUCAACAACGGAUCUCUUGGCUCUCGCAUCGAUGAAGAACGCAGCGAAAUGCGAUAAGUAAUGUGAAUUGCAGAAUUCAGUGAAUCAUCGAAUCUUUGAACGCACCUUGCGCUCCAUGGUAUUCCGUGGAGCAUGCCUGUUUGAGUGUCAUGAAUACUUCAACCCUCCUCUUUCUUAAUGAUUGAAGAGGUGUUUGGUUUCUGAGCGCUGCUGGCCUUUACGGUCUAGCUCGUUCGUAAUGCAUUAGCAUCCGCAAUCGAACUUCGGAUUGACUUGGCGUAAUAGACUAUUCGCUGAGGAAUUCUAGUCUUCGGAUUAGAGCCGGGUUGGGUUAAAGGAAGCUUCUAAUCAGAAUGUCUACAUUUUAAGAUUAGAUCUCAAAUCAGGUAGGACUACCCGCUGAACUUAAGCAUAUCAAUA
rnacentral:rRNA from 1 species